rnacentral:rRNA from 3 species
GGACUACUAGGGUAUCUAAUCCCGUUCGCUCCCCUAGCUUUCGCGCCUCAGCGUCAGAAGAGGUCCAGCACGUCGCUUUCGCCACCGGCGUUCCUUCCGAUAUCAACGCAUUUCACCGCUCCACCGGAAGUUCCACAUGCCCCUACCUCGCUCGAGACAGCCAGUAUCAAAGGCAGUUUUCCGGUUGAGCCGAAAGAUUUCACCCCUGACUUGGCUAUCCGCCUACGCGCCCUUUAAGCCCAGUGAUUCCGAACAACGUUUGCACGGUUCGUCUUACCGCGGCGGCUGGCAC